rnacentral:rRNA from 1 species
AUUGAUUGGUGCUUGCAUCAUGAUUUGCAUUUGAGUGAGUGGCGAACUGGUGAGUAACACGUGGGAAACCUGCCCAGAAGCGGGGGAUAACACCUGGAAACAGAUGCUAAUACCGCAUAACAACUUGGACCGCAUGGUCCGAGUUUGAAAGAUGGCUUCGGCUAUCACUUUUGGAUGGUCCCGCGGCGUAUUAGCUAGAUGGUGAGGUAACGGCUCACCAUGGCAAUGAUACGUAGCCGACCUGAGAGGGUAAUCGGCCACAUUGGGACUGAGACACGGCCCAAACUCCUACGGGAGGCAGCAGUAGGGAAUCUUCCACAAUGGACGAAAGUCUGAUGGAGCAACGCCGCGUGAGUGAAGAAGGGUUUCGGCUCGUAAAACUCUGUUGUUAAAGAAGAACAUAUCUGAGAGUAACUGUUCAGGUAUUGACGGUAUUUAACCAGAAAGCCACGGCUAACUACGUGCCAGCAGCCGCGGUAAUACGUAGGUGGCAAGCGUUGUCCGGAUUUAUUGGGCGUAAAGCGAGCGCAGGCGGUUUUUUAAGUCUGAUGUGAAAGCCUUCGGCUCAACCGAAGAAGUGCAUCGGAAACUGGGAGACUUGAGUGCAGAAGAGGACAGUGGAACUCCAUGUGUAGCGGUGAAAUGCGUAGAUAUAUGGAAGAACACCAGUGGCGAAGGCGGCUGUCUGGUCUGUAACUGACGCUGAGGCUCGAAAGUAUGGGUAGCAAACAGGAUUAGAUACCCUGGUAGUCCAUACCGUAAACGAUGAAUGCUAAGUGUUGGAGGGUUUCCGCCCUUCAGUGCUGCAGCUAACGCAUUAAGCAUUCCGCCUGGGGAGUACGGCCGCAAGGCUGAAACUC